rnacentral:rRNA from 1 species
CGGACGGGUGAGUAACGCGUGGGUAACCUGCCUCAUACAGGGGGAUAACAGUUAGAAAUGACUGCUAAUACCGCAUAAGCGCGCAAAACCGCAUGGUUUGGUGUGAAAAACUGAGGUGGUAUGAGAUGGACCUGCGUCUGAUUAGCUAGUUGGAGAGGUAACGGCUCACCAAGGCAACGAUCAGUAGCCGACCUGAGAGGGUGACCGGCCACAUUGGGACUGAGACACGGCCCAAACUCCUACGGAAGGCAGCAG